rnacentral:RNase_P_RNA from 2 species
CGGGAAGGGGGCACGGUCGCGCCGCCUGCCCCCUUGGGGCUGAGGCGGUGAGGAAAGUCCGGGCACCGGAGGGCAGGGUGCCAGGUAACGCCUGGGCGCCGUAAGGCGACGGAAAGUGCCACAGAGAACAGACCGCCGAUCCGGCCUGGGGUUCCCCAGGUGUCAUGGAGGCAAGGGUGAAACGGUGGGGUAAGAGCCCACCAGCGUCCCGGGAGACCGGGGCGGCUCGGUAAACCCCACCCGGUGCAAGGCCAAGUAGGCAGGGAGGGCUUGCCCGGCCCGAGAGAACCUGCGGGUUGGCCGCUCGAGGCCGGUGGCGACACCGGUCCCAGAGAGAUGACCGUGGCCCCGCAAGGGGUACAGAACCCGGCUUACACCCCUUCCCAAGAC